CUCCCUGUCUAGAGUUCUGCAUCUUUAGGAAAUGCAAAACUCUCGUUUGUAGAUUGUUUUGUUCAGAACAAAAAUUCAUCAUCAGACUAAUAUUUCUGAAGUGCGCAGAGACGCCGUGUGGCUUUAAUUAGAGUUUCACAUCAUCUUCAUUAUGACACUGUCAGAUGAACAUUAGCAGAACAACUCUAAAACAUGAUGUUCUCAAAGCUGACGAUAAACUCUUGUGUGUGCGUCUCUGUCUGUGUAUAAGUGUGUGUUCUGUGCGUGUGUGGUCUGUGUGUGUAUGAGUGUGUCUUCUAUGCAUGUGUGUGUGUCUGUGUAUGAGUGUGUGCUCUGUGCGUGUGUGUCUGUGUGUGUGUUCUGUGCGUGUGUGUCUGUGUGUAUGAGUGUGUUCCGUGCAUGUGUGUUCUGUGCAUGUGUGUAUGAGUGUGUGCUCUGUGCAUGUGUGUGUGUCUGUGUGUAUAUGAGUGUGUUCUGUGCGUGUGUGUCCCUUGUGUGUAUGUCUGUGUGUGCUCUGUGCGUGUAUGAGUGUGUGUUCUGUGCGUGUGUGUAUGAGUGUGUGUUCUGUGCAUGUAUGAGUGUGUGUUCUGUGCAUGUGUGUCUGUGUGUGUAUGAGUGUGUGUUCUGUGCGUGUGUGUCUGUGUGUGUACGAGUGUGUUCUGUGCGUGUGUGUCCCUUGUGUGUGUCUGUGUGUGCUCUGUGCGUGUGUGUAUGAGUGUGUGUUCUGUGCGUGUGUGUAUAUGAGUGUGUGUUCUGUGCAUGUAUGAGUGUGUGUUCUGUGCGUGUGUCUGUGUGUGUAUAAGUGUGUGUUCUGUGCAUGUGUGUGUGAAUAUGAGUGUGUGUUUGUGUGUCUGUGUAUGUGUAUGAGUGAGUGUGUGUGUGUAUGUUUGUGUAGUAGGAUGAGACUGACAGUGUGUGAUGGAUGUUAUACAAUAUUACACAGCAUGAUCUCACUAACACUCGCACAACUCUGACAUGACUAUAUGAGCUGCUGGAAUGACAAAUGAGUGUGUGUGUGUGUGUGUGAUGCACAAUACUAUCUGAAUGUGUCUUAACCGUUAAGUUAGAGUCAAAGAAAUACAAAAUCUUAUCAGAGAGACAAACUGAUGUCAAAAGGCUUGGAAGUGCUUCAAUAUAGUACAAUAACAUUUAAAAGUAGUACUGAAGGUAAUAAUUUGGAUCAAACGACAGAAAAGAGAGAGAGAGCGUGUUUAGUGUCCGGUGAUGCUCCAGACUCACACUGAGUUGUGUGUUUAAUACUGCUAGGCACCAGAUCUGUACAGCACAACACCUCGGACAUUCAUUCAUCACAUCUACGUACAAACACAGCGGUGCUCUGGUGCUUAAUAAAUAAUCCAACAAUCUCAAGCGGCCCUUCAGCAUCAAACCAGCACAUCACAACGUCAACAGAGUCCAAACUCAAUGCAGAAGUCCAGCUUCAUAACAUCAUUAACGGCAAGGCGCAGUGCUUUAACUCUGGUUCUCCUCAGGGGUCAAAGGUCUCCUGUGGCGCUCUCGUGUGUCUCUACUGCCCCCUGCUGGACGAUCUCAGUUUGAUGAUCCACUCACCGCCGGGGUUGUUGUUGUACAGGUCGAACAAAUGAGUCUCUGGAUCCAAACAAUGUUCACCUGAGCCAGAAAACAAGAUUUAGGCAUUCAAAAUAUCACAUUUACAUGUAACAC
ensembl:lncRNA